ACUGAGCUAAAGAAACUGUACAGCACACAAGGUGUUUGCCUUCGCCCGUUCACCGACAAGACUGGGUGAACCUGAAAGUGGCGAUGGAUGUCGACCCUUAUACAUACGACUGCUCGAGUCGAGAGAACGAAGAUUUUGAGCUUUGGAGGGACUUUGAAGAAAUUAUGGAAAUACGGCCUUCUGCUUUUUUUCCCAAACCUGCAUUUCCAGUGGAAUCAUCUAGGUUGGUAAACAGCCAGAGAUUCAUCAUUGUACGAGUCUCACAGCCGGCCAUUCAUGGACAGAUUUCACGACCAUGUCAACUACCAAAGGCGGGAUUCAUGCAGGCCUGAAACAUCUACAUGUCCUAGCUUCCAACCACGUGAUCUUGGCCAUCCUGUGCCAUCUGGCCAUUACAUGACCAUGGAUUAUGAUGGCGAUGCCAGAAGAUCUUUUCGAUUCUAUUUUUAGCAUGAGCGCCUCAGAAGUAUGGGAUAAAUGUACAUUUAAAAAAAUAUAAUUAUUGAGAUGAAAUUGGAUUUCAAACAUCUUUGUUCUCUUCAUGCCAGCAAUUAAACCUUCUGGGCUUGCUCCGUUGUUUGUGCACAUUCUGAGAUCAAAUCAGUUGGUUUUUACAAAAUUGGUGUAUAUGCUUAAUAUGCUGCUUAUUUCAUGCCACUGAAUAAAUAUACUUUUAUUUACAAACUGUUAUUCAUGGCAGUGCUAGUCAGAUUGUUCUCGUUGAAAACUUGUCACAACGUGCAUGAGACACUUGAAGUUGGAGCAUCUUGGGAAUAAUCAUUUGAUGUGUGUAUUUAUCACAUGUGUAUGCUGUCAUAAUCCACGCUGUUUUGGCUCAUGUGCAUGUCAAGAGUGAAAGAAUGACUUUCAGCCUCUUUUGUCUUGAAAAUUGUUCUCAUGUGAUAAAACUUCACAUCACUUUUACUCACUUUAAUAUGAACAUUUUCGUAACAUAUAGUGUUUUUGUGUGCUCGUGGGAAAAUUGACAUCAUUGAAACUUAAUUUGGCAUGUGUAUUUAUCAAGUAUGAAUGUUGUCAUAACUUAUAUUUUGACUAUAUUUAUCACUUGUAAAAGUGGUCAUCACCUAUAUAUGCUUUAUUUUGGUAUACGUAUUAAUAAAGUGUGUAAGCUCUA